rnacentral:rRNA from 1 species
GACGGACGCUGGCGGCGUGCCUAAUACAUGCAAGUCGAGCGGACUGAUUAAGAGCUUGCUCUUAUGACGUUAGCGGCGGACGGGUGAGUAACACGUGGGCAACCUGCCCUGUAGAUCGGGAUAACACCGAGAAAUCGGUGCUAAUACCGGGUAAUAUCUGAGAUCACAUGAUCUUAGGUUAAAAGAUGGCUCCGGCUAUCACUACAGGAUGGGCCCGCGGCGCAUUAGCUAGUUGGUAAGGUAAUGGCUUACCAAGGCGACGAUGCGUAGCCGACCUGAGAGGGUGAUCGGCCACACUGGGACUGAGACACGGCCCAGACUCCUACGGGAGGCAGCAGUAGGGAAUCUUCCGCAAUGGACGAAAGUCUGACGGAGCAACGCCGCGUGAGUGAUGAAGGGUUUCGGCUCGUAAAGCUCUGUUGUUAGGGAAGAAACAGUACCGAACGAACUAGGUCGGUACCUUGACGGUACCUAACCAGAAAGCCACGGCUAACUACGUG